rnacentral:misc_RNA from 1 species
GAUGAAGAACGUAGCAAAAUGCGAUAAGUAAUGUGAAUUGCAGAAUUCAGUGAAUCAUCGAAUCUUUGAACGCACAUUGCGCCCGCCAGUAUUCUGGCGGGCAUGCCUGUUCGAGCGUCAUUUCAACCCUCAAGCACAGCUUGGUGUUGGGACUCGCGUUAAUUCGCGUUCCUCAAAUUGAUUGGCGGUCACGUCGAGCUUCCAUAGCGUAGUAGUAAAACCCUCGUUACUGGUAAUCGUCGCGGCCACGCCGUUAAACCCCAACUUCUGAAUGUUGACCUCGGAUCAGGUAGGAAUACCCGCUGAACUUAAGCAAAUCAAUAAGCGGAGGA